rnacentral:rRNA from 1 species
AGGUUGACCUCGGAUCAGGUAGGGAUACCCGCUGAACUUAAGCAUAUCAAUAAGCGGAGGAAAAGAAACCAACAGGGAUUGCCCUAGUAACGGCGAGUGAAGCGGCAACAGCUCAAAUUUGAAAUCUGGCGCAAGCCCGAGUUGUAAUUUGCAGAGGAUGCUUCUGGGCAGCGGCCGGUCUAAGUUCCUUGGAACAGGACGUCAUAGAGGGUGAGAAUCCCGUAUGCGACCGGUUGGCACCCGUCACGUAGCUCCUUCGACGAGUCGAGUUGUUUGGGAAUGCAGCUCUAAAUGGGUGGUAAAUGUCAUCUAAAGCUAAAUACCGGCCAGAGACCGAUAGCGCACAAGUAGAGUGAUCGAAAGAUGAAAAGUACUCUGGAAAGAGAGUUAAAAAGCACGUGAAAUUGUUGAAAGGGAAGCGCAUGCAACCAGACUUGUCCGCGGUGUUCCGCCGGUCUUCUGACCGGUCUACUCGCCGUGGGCAGGCCAGCAUCGUCUGGGUGCGCCGGAUAAAGGCGUAGGGAAUGUAGCCCCUCGGGGUGUUAUAGCUCUACGCACAAUACGGCGCCGCCCGGGCGAGGUCCGCGCUUCGGCUAGGAUGCUGGCGUAAUGGUUGUCUGCGGCCCGUCUUGAAACACGGACCAAGGAGUCUAACAUCUAUGCGAGUGUUCGGGUGUCAAACCCCUACGCGGAAUGAAAGUGAACGGAGGUGGGAGCCCUCGGGCGCACCAUCGACCGAUCCUGAUGUCUUCGGAUGGAUUUGAGUAAGAGCAUAGCUGUUGGGACCCGAAAGAUGGUGAACUAUGCCUGAAUAGGGUGAAGCCAGAGGAAACUCUGGUGGAGGCUCGCAGCGGUUCUGACGUGCAAAUCGAUCGUCAAAUUUGGAUAUAGGGGCGAAAGACUAAUCGAACCCAUCUAGUAGCUGGUUCCUGCCGAAAUUUUCCCUCAGGAUAGCAAGUAACCGU